ACUGUUGUCUCUUAUAGCCCUUGGGCCAUCGGCGUCGCAGCUUCCGGCACCGACAGAGUUUAUUCAACCUCACUUCUUCUUGGCAAUGGCCAAAAAGUUGGAGGAGUAGGAAUGUCUGGUAUGCCACCAUAUAACAAUAUCCAAUUACUAUCAUUAUGGAGCAAAAAAUUAUAACUAAUUACUAUCAUCUUCCUCAGGACCCAGUUUAGGGAGUGAGUUUUUCCUACAUAAGUUGGUAUUGGCUAAGGAUGCAACGAAGCAAAAUGAAACAAAUUAUAACGACAUACCAAGUUACAUUGAAGAAUGCCAACAUCCUGAAGCUUUUGACCCAAAUAUUGUCCAAAACAGCAUAGUCCUUUGCUCUUUCUCACAAGGAUUCCUGAAUGGAACCUCCUCUCUUGCAGCCAUCAUUCACACUGCAAAACAACUCAAGUUCAUGGGUUUUGUUCUCAUUGCAAAUCCAAACUAUGGUGAUUUCAUUGCAGAGCCUAUCCCUUUCAGAGUUCCAGGCAUUCUCGUCCCCAGCGUAUCAGAUACUCAGGUAUAACUUUACAACAUAUAAACAAAUAAAAAUGGCCAUCUAAAUCAAAAUCUUCAUUUUCCCCCCCCCCCCCCCCCCCUAAUUUUAGUUAGAUUUCAAACAUGUUUUCAAAAAGCUAAGUGGCCAACAACAAAAAAAAAAAAAACAUAAAUGCAUGCCCCAUAAAAUCAAGUUUAUAUUCUUCAAGUUUAUUUAUUUUGUUUUCGACUUCUUUCCAGUUUUUUCAUAAACGAAAACUAAAGAAAAAUUCGUUUGUUAACACUUGUUUUUCUUAUUAGAAUGUGAUUAAAAUUCAAAGGUGAAAACCUUAGAAGCACAAGCACUUCACUUCUACUAGCGUGAGUCAAUCCAUCCAUCUCUGGCUUCUGCCAUACACAAUUAUUGGACAUUUCAAUUCACUUGUUGAAUACAUAUCAAACACAUGUCACAUUAGUGCGACAUAUUAUUAGACAUGCAUAAACAUUAAUGUAGACCAGAAAGGCACGUAUAUCUAAAAUACAUCAAAAUAAGUUUCUGAAGCAUAACUAGAUUUUUAAAAUACGACAUGUUGUGUUAGAUCAUAAUUGUGUCUUGUAUCCGUAUCUGUGCUUCUAAGGUGAAAAUUAAGUCACAAUUUUAUGAAAAACAACCAAAAAAAAAUUAAAAACAAAGUCAUCAUGAAAGAUACCAAAAAUUUUUAAUGAACAGGAGUUGACAAUCUUGGAUUGCAAGCUGAAAAUAUAGGUAAUACUGAAGUACUAUGAAGAAAAUACAUGCAAGGAUGAAAGAGGAAUGGUUAGAGAAUUUAAAGGGAAAGCAGGGAUUGGAGAAGGAAGAAUUGCUUCAUUUGGGAACCAAGCACCCACAGUUAGCAGAUUUUCAUCAAGAGGACCAGAUUACAUAAACAUAAAUAGGAGUUUAGCUGAUGUUCUAAAGCCAGAUAUUCUUGCACCUGGUCACCAAAUUUGGGCUGCUUGGAGCCCUCUCAGUGCCUCAGAACCACUAUUAAAGGGUCAGCUUUUCAUGAACUUAUUGUUCUUUCAGUUUCAUCAAUUUUUCCCUUUUACAUUUGUCAUUCAAUCUAUAUGAAUUUUAAGCAAUUCUUGUUUUGGUCUCUUUAGGUUUUAAAACCCCAGUGCUAAAAAAAAUAUAUUUGUUUUUAGUUUUCUCUGUAUGAAAUUUAUAUGUACUGUUUUUCUCUUAAAUUUUAUAUUAUGGUUCUUACAUUUAUAAAACAAACAAUUGGGUUCUCAGUAAACUUUUACAAUUACAUGACCCUACUUUUUCUUAAUUUCUUGUGAUGUUUAGCAUCUCUCUCAAGUAAUAUCAAGUUGAACUUCCUAGCCAAAUUCUAUAAACAAGAAAAAAUUCUUAAAAAGCUAAUCUUUCUAGUUUUCAGAACUUUAAUUUGAAACCUGGUUUUUGAAAACAACAUAUAGAUAACAAAAAUACAAAAAGCUUAGAGGUGGAAGAAGUGUCUACCUGCAUGCUUUUAAUUCCUAAAAGUUAAAAAUUGAAAACAAAGUUGUCAAAUAAUUUUUUUUUUCUAGUUUUUUAAAUUUUGUUUUGACUUUUACAAAUAUCAAUGAAAAGUGAAUAACAAAACAUAAACAAAGAAACAUAGUGAAACUAGAGUUUAUUAGUUUAAUUUUUUUAAAAAAAAAAUUAGUAAAGAUGAUCUAGAUAAAUUUCACCUUUAUAAGUCCCAAUCAACUCAAGAAAUUAGAAAGUCAUAUUUAUGUCAUAUCAAAAGGGCACAAGAGAAGUUGAUUGAAACAUGAGUGUUGAAUUAUAUAUAUACAGGAUACCAUUUUGCACUGAUGUCUGGAACAAGUAUGGCAGCACCUCAUAUUGUGGGAAUAGCAGCACUUAUCAAGCAAAAAUAUCCUUCUUGGACUCCUUCCAUGAUAGCUUCUGCUAUGUCCACAACUGCUACAAAGUAUGAUAUGAAUGGAGACCUUAUUCAGGCUGAGGGAUUCAACCUUCAUGCUUUAUAUCCUUCUA
rnacentral:lncRNA from 1 species